UACGUAGGGGCCUAGCGUUGUCCGGAUUUAUUGGGCGUAAAGAGCUCGUAGGCGGUUUGGUGAGUCGGGUGUGAAAUCUCCACGCUCAACGUGGAGGGGCCACCCGAUACUGCCAUGACUAGAGUCCGGUAGGGGAGUGUGGAAUUCCCGGUGUAGCGGUGAAAUGCGCAGAUAUCAGGAGGAACACCGGUGGCGAAGGCGCCACUCUGGGCCGGUACUGACGCUGAGGAGCGAAAGCGUGGGUAGCAAACAGG
rnacentral:rRNA from 1 species